UACGUAGGGGGCAAGCGUUGUCCGGAAUCAUUGGGCGUAAAGAGCGUGUAGGCGGCCCGGUAAGUCCGCUGUGAAAGUCCAGGGCUCAACCCUGGGAUGCCGGUGGAUACUGUCGGGCUCGAGUCCGGAAGAGGAGUGUGGAAUUCCUGGUGUAGCGGUGAAAUGCGCAGAUAUCAGGAGGAACACCAAUGGCGAAGGCAGCACUCUGGGACGUGACUGACGCUGAGACACGAAGGCCAGGGGAGCAAACGGG
rnacentral:rRNA from 1 species